rnacentral:lncRNA from 1 species
CAUGGAGCCGUCUCCCUGGGCAGACUGUGGAACUGCUCCCCUUUCCCCAAACACCCAGCUGCUUGUCUAUGGGGAAACCUAGAAAACUCCUUUGGCUCCUGGUAAUAAAGCCUGCUCUGGCUGAAGCAGGAGUGGGGCCUGGGCCUGCCCCUCAGCCUCUCCCUUCCUGGUCUCUGAGACAUUUGCGCAGAAGCUUGAGGCUGCUGGCAACACUGUUUCAAAAGCUUUGCUGCUGACAAACAAACCAUACAAACUCAUUAUUGGGACAGCUGGGGAAAUUUGAAUAUGGACUGGGUA